rnacentral:rRNA from 1 species
UGUACACACAAUGUAGCAAACCAGCGAACUGUUGUUGUCCCCCGAGGGGCCUCACCCGGAGGUGAGGCCGUCGAUGGCGCGGAUCGGCCCUAGAGGUCGGCCCAUGGGCGAGAUGGGUCUUUGCUAUCGGCUGGAGUGCCUCGUACUUGCGAUUCUUGCCGUCGGAAGCUAGCACCCCCCCUCCCUAUACAGUGGGGAGCGAGCGGCUUGCGGCUGGGGUCGGGCUCUCCCCUCCCCCUUUGUCCCCGUCUUUGGGGGCUUUGGGGCCAUUUUUUUCACAAGCACCUUGAGAGACAUGAAUGAGGAGACUGAAUGUGAGGCUUGUGGGCUGCCUUGAUGGGCAGUACACAACUCACGUCAAAAUUAGAGAAACGACUCUCAGCAACGGAUAUCUUGGCUCUUGCAACGAUGAAGAACGCAGCGAAAUGCGAUACCUAGUGUGAAUUGCAGAAUUCCGCGAAUCAUCGAGUCUUUGAACGCAAGUUGCGCCCGAGGCUUGUCCCGAGGGCAUGCCUGCCUGAGCGUCAUCGCACUUCCACCUGGAAAUACCUUCCGUGUGUGGAACUGGUCGUCCGGGAUCCGGCGUGAUGCCAUGGGUUGCGGUUGGCUGAAAUGCAACGAUGUGGACGCAGCCGAACGGAGAGGCCGUGCGAAGGUGAUCCGCUCACUUUGUCGAGUG